CCCAAAAGAUCGAAUGAGAAGAUUCAUCGUCAGCGGUGUUGGCUUCCGUGUGGAUCGCGAUGGCUUGGGCUUCGGCCACUUGUCACGCGUCCACUGCGGUAUGUCCGACAUCGUCGGCGUGCACUUCUUCUCUAGUAGAACGUCGCGACCCGUUGGGUGCCAGUCUACGGCCCGGUUUGAUCGACUGUUGCGUCGCGUUCAUUCGUGCACUCGACAGAUCACUGGUUGCCUGACCGGCUGCCCGGCGGUAUUGAUCGCUAUUGGUAUUGAGUCGCAUUGAAUGCGUUCUGGCUCGUCGACAGGCUCGUCUCGCUCGAUCUCACGGACCUAGCGCCGUUGUCGAGCGCUUGGCGUGGCUGUUAGUCGACGAUGUCCUCGGACUGGCUCUUUACAUUUCGAACGGAAUUUACCGGUCGGCGACGCUACUGCUUUGGGUACUCUCAGGACCCGUCUUGAAACACGGACCAAGGAGYCUAACAUGUGCGCGAGUCAUUGGGACUUGUUUAAGCCUAAAGGCGUAAUGAAAGUAAAGGUCRGCCCUAGGCUUGACCGAGGGAGGAUGGCUCGUGUCAAGAUGCGAGUCCGCACUCCCGGGGCGUCUCGUGCUCAUUGCGAGCAGAGGCGCACCCAGAGCGUACACGUUGGGACCCGAAAGAUGGUGAACUAUGCCUGGUCAGGACGAAGUCAGGGGAAACCCUGAUGGAGGUCCGUAGCGAUUCUGACGUGCAAAUCGAUCGUCGGAACUGGGUAUAGGGGCGAAAGACUAAUCGAACCAUCUAGUAGCUGGUUCCCUCCGAAGUUUCCCUCAGGAUAGCUGGCACUCGCUCGAACGAGUCYCAUCUGGUAAAGCGAAUGAUUAGAGGCCUUGGGGCCGAAACGACCUCAACCUAUUCUCAAACUUUAAAUGGGUGAGAUCUCUGGCUUGCUUGAACGUUGAARCCACGAGAUAACAUUUUUAAAAUGGAUCAGAGUGCCAAGUGGGCCAAUUUUGGUAAGCAGAACUGGCGCUGUGGGAUGARCCAAACGCCGAGUUAAGGCGCCUAAGACGACGCUUAUGGGAUACCAUGAAAGGCGUUGGUUGCUUAAGACAGCAGGACGGUGGCCAUGGAAGUCGGAAUCCGCUAAGGAGUGUGUAACAACUCACCUGCCGAAGCAACUAGCCCUGAAAAUGGAUGGCGCUGAAGCGUCGCGCCUAUACUCGGCCGUCAGUGGCAAGUGGGAUGGCGAGUAGCAAUGCUCGCUUUCAUGRUGCUCUGACGAGUAGGAGGGUCGCGGCGGUGUGCGCAGAAGGGUCUGGGCGUGAGCCUGCCUGGAGCCGCCGUCGGUGCAGAUCUUGGUGGUAGUAGCAAAUACUCCAGCGAGGCCCUGGAGGACUGACGUGGAGAAGGGUUUCGUGUGAACAGCCGUUGCACACGAGUCAGUCGAUCCUAAGCCCUAGGAGAAAUCCUAUGUUGAUGACGGUGUAUGUAUUGAAAGCAUAUGAUAAAAUGUCAAGUGCACACCCGUCGGGCGAAAGGGAAUCCGGUUCCUAUUCC
rnacentral:rRNA from 1 species